rnacentral:rRNA from 1 species
UGGGGAAUUUUGGACAAUGGGCGAAAGCCUGAUCCAGCAAUGCCGCGUGUGUGAAGAAGGCCUUCGGGUUGUAAAGCACUUUUGUCCGGAAAGAAAUCCUUGGCUCUAAUACAGUCGGGGGAUGACGGUACCGGAAGAAUAAGCACCGGCUAACUACGUGCCAGCAGCCGCGGUAAUACGUAGGGUGCAAGCGUUAAUCGGAAUUACUGGGCGUAAAGCGUGCGCAGGCGGUUUGCUAAAACCGAUGUGAAAUCCCCGGGCUCAACCUGGGAACUGCAUUGGUGACUGGCAGGCUAGAGUAUGGCAGAGGGGGGUAGAAUUCCACGUGUAGCAGUGAAAUGCGUAGAGAUGUGGAGGAAUACCGAUGGCGAAGGCAGCCCCCUGGGCCAAUACUGACGCUCAUGCGCGAAAGCGUGGGGAGCAAACAGGAUUAGAUACCCUGGUAGUCCACGCCCUAAACGAUGUCAACUAGUUGUUGGGGAUUCAUUUCCUUAGUAACGUAGCUAACGCGUGAAGUUGACCGCCUGGGGAGUACGGUCGCAAGAUUAAAACUUAAAUGAAUUGACGGGGUCAUAGCUGUUUCCU